UGGGGGAUAUUGCACAAUGGGCGAAAGCCUGAUGCAGCGACGCCGCGUGGGGGAUGAAGGCCUUCGGGUUGUAAACUUCUUUUGCUCUGAACAAGGCGCACCAUGGGGUGUGUUGAGUGUAGGGGUUGAUUAGCGCCGGCUAACUACGUGCCAGCAGCCGCGGUAAUACGUAGGGCGCGAGCGUUGUCCGGAAUUAUUGGGCGUAAAGGGCUUGUAGGUGGCUGGUUGCGUCUGUCGUGAAAGCUCAUGGCUUAACUGUGGGUUUGCGGUGGGUACGGGCUGGCUUGAGGGGAGUAGGGGAGGCUGGAAUUCCUGGUGGAGCGGUGGAAUGCGCAGAUAUAAGGAGGAAUACCGGUGGCGAAGGCGGGUCUCUGGGCUGUUACUGACACUGAGGAGCGAAAGCAUGGGGAGCGAACAGG
rnacentral:rRNA from 1 species